rnacentral:rRNA from 1 species
UACGUAGGUGGCAAGCGUUGUUCGGAAUUAUUGGGCGUAAAGGGCGCGUAGGCGGUUUGUUAAGUCGGCUGUGAAAGCCCGGGGCUCAACCCCGGAGGGUCAGCCGAUACUGGCAGACUAGAGUACGGAAGAGGUAGCUGGAAUUCCAGGUGUAGCGGUGAAAUGCGUAGAUAUCUGGAGGAACACCGGUGGCGAAGGCGGCAUCCUGGACCGACACUGACGCUGAGGAGCGAAAGCAGGGGAGCAAACGGG